AUAUACAGCUCUAUGUCUUUGGGUUGAAAUAACAUUAUCAUGAUCCAUUGGCAUCCAAAAAUUGAUAACUUGACUUU